rnacentral:rRNA from 1 species
CUACGGGCGGCUGCAGUGAGGAAUAUUGCACAAUGGGGGGAACCCUGAUGCAGCAACGCCGCGUGGAGGAUGACGCAUUUCGGUGUGUAAACUCCUUUUAUAUGUCAAGAAAAUGACGGUAGCAUAUGAAUAAGCACCGGCUAACUCCGUGCCAGCAGCCGCGGUAAUACGGAGGGUGCAAGCGUUACUCGGAAUCACUGGGCGUAAAGGACGCGUAGGCGGGUUGGAAAGUCAGGUGUGAAAUCCUGCAGCUUAACUGUAGAACUGCACUUGAAACUUCUAAGCUAGAGUAUGGGAGGGGGAGAUGGAAUUAGUGGUGUAGGGGUAAAAUCCGUAGAUAUCACUAGGAAUACCUAAAGCGAAGGCGAUCUCCUGGAACAUUACUGACGCUAAGGCGUGAAAGCGUGGGGAGCAAACAGGAUUAGAUACCCUAGUAGUC